rnacentral:rRNA from 1 species
AUUGAACGCUGGCGGCAUGCUUUACACAUGCAAGUCGAACGGCAGCGCGGGCUUUGGCCUGGCGGCGAGUGUCGAACGGGUGAGUAAUGCAUCUGAACGUGCCUAGUAGUGGGGGAUAUCCCGCCGAAAGCCGGAUUAAUACCGCAUACGACCUGAGGGUGAAAGCGGGGGACCGAAAGGCCUCGCGCUAUUGGAGCUGCCGAUGUCGGAUUAGCUAGUUGGUGGGGUAAAGGCUUACCAAGGCGACGAUCCGUAGCUGGUCUGAGAGGACGACCAGCCACACUGGGACUGAGACACGGCCCAGACUCCUACGGGAGGCAGCAGUGGGGAAUUUUGGACAAUGGGGGCAAGCCUGAUCCAGCCAUGCCGCGUGCGGGAAGAAGGCCUUCGGGUUGUAAAGCGCUUUUGUUCGGGAAGAAAUCCUCUGGGCUAAUACCCCGGGGGGAUGACGGUACCGGAAGAAUAAGCACCGGCUAACUACGUG